UGAGGAAUAUUGCUCAAUGGAGGAAACUCUGAUGCAGCAACGCCGCGUGUGGGAUGAAGGAGCUAUGCUUCGUAAACUACUGUCAGAUGGGAGUAAAAGCCUGCUUUGUGGGCUGGGAACGUACCAUCAGAGGAAGGGUCGGCUAACUACGUGC
rnacentral:rRNA from 1 species